rnacentral:rRNA from 1 species
AUGCAUGGCGGCAGCUUACCAUGCAGUCGAGCGGGGGAAGGUAGCUUGCUACCGGACCUAGCGGCGGACGGGUGAGUAAUGCUUAGGAAUCUGCCUAUUAGUGGGGGACAACAUCUCGAAAGGGAUGCUAAUACCGCAUACGUCCUACGGGAGAAAGCAGGGGAUCUUCGGACCUUGCGCUAAUAGAUGAGCCUAAGUCGGAUUAGCUAGUUGGUGGGGUAAAGGGCCCGCGAAUUCCGCGUAUAGGAGGAGUCCUACCAAGGGCGAGCGGCUCUGUAGCCGAUUCCGAAGAUGAUCGCCACUGGAACUGAGAACCGCCAGACUCUACGGAGGCAGGCAGUGGGAUAUGACAUGGGGGAACCUGAUCAGCAUGCCGCGUGUGUGAAGAAGCCUAUGGUGUAAGCACUUUAGCGAGAGGAGGCUACUUUAGUAAUACCUAGAGAUAGUGGACGUUACUCGCAGAAUAAGCACCGGCUAACUCUGUGCCAGCAGCCGCGGUAAUACAGAGGGUGCGAGCGUUAAUCGGAUUUACUGGGCGUAAAGCGUGCGUAGGCGGCUUAUUAAGUCGGAUGUGAAAUCCCCGAGCUUAACUUGGGAAUUGCAUUCGAUACUGGUGAGCUAGAGUAUGGGAGAGGAUGGUAGAAUUCCAGGUGUAGCGGUGAAAUGCGUAGAGAUCUGGAGGAAUACCGAUGGCGAAGGCAGCCAUCUGGCCUAAUACUGACGCUGAGGUACGAAAGCAUGGGGAGCAAACAGGAUUAGAUACCCUGGUAGUCCAUGCCGUAAACGAUGUCUACUAGCCGUUGGGGCCUUUGAGGCUUUAGUGGCGCAGCUAACGCGAUAAGUAGACCGCCUGGGGAGUACGGUCGCAAGACUAAAACUCAAAUGAAUUGACGGGGGCCCGCACAAGCGGUGGAGCAUGUGGUUUAAUUCGAUGCAACGCGAAGAACCUUACCUGGCCUUGACAUACUAGAAACUUUCCAGAGAUGGAUUGGUGCCUUCGGGAAUCUAGAUACAGGUGCUGCAUGGCUGUCGUCAGCUCGUGUCGUGAGAUGUUGGGUUAAGUCCCGCAACGAGCGCAACCCUUUUCCUUACUUGCCAGCAUUUCGGAUGGGAACUUUAAGGAUACUGCCAGUGACAAACUGGAGGAAGGCGGGGACGACGUCAAGUCAUCAUGGCCCUUACGGCCAGGGCUACACACGUGCUACAAUGGUCGGUACAAAGGGUUGCUACACAGCGAUGUGAUGCUAAUCUCAAAAAGCCGAUCGUAGUCCGGAUUGGAGUCUGCAACUCGACUCCAUGAAGUCGGAAUCGCUAGUAAUCGCGGAUCAGAAUGCCGCGGUGAAUACGUUCCCGGGCCUUGUACACACCGCCCGUCACACCAUGGGAGUUUGUUGCACCAGAAGUAGCUAGCCUAACUGCAAAGAGGGCGGUUACCACGGUGUGGCCGAUGACUGGGGUGAAGUCGAACAAGAGCUUGUCCUC